UCUUCUUUUUUCUUCUUUUUUCUUCUUUUUUCUUCUUUUUUCUUCUUCUUUCUUCUUUUUUCUUCUUUUUUCUUCUUUUUUCUUCUUUUUUCUUCUUUUUUCUUCUUUUUUCUUCUUUUUUCUUCUUUUUUCUUCUUUUUUCUUCUAUGAAAGUAAAGUUAAAAUGUGUAUUGAAAGGAGUCUUCUUUGGGUAGAAGAGUGUCAGACAGAUCAACUAAAAUUACUUCCAAACUUUUCUUAUGAUUGUAUCUUACUGGUUGUGUUUCUUAUAUAAAUAUGUAUAUUUUUCAAAUAUUAGAGAAACUAUGUAGCAUACAACAAAGUAAUAAAGAUCCUGCAUCUUUUGCAGCUUAUUUAAACUGUCUGAUUGCAUGUAUAAAAAUACAAAAUUUAAAGAUAGUUCAGUGGAUAUGAAACAAGUUGAUACUUACCUUAAUACAAGUGAAAACAUGACAGAAGCGAGAAAAGAUGUGUGGAGAAUAAAUCAUCAUACUCCAAUAUCUACAGACUCAGAUUUUACCCUACAUAGGGUAAAUGAUGGGAACAUUGCAUCUAAAAUAGGAUUUCAAAUAAAAUCACUUCCUAGUGCUUCAAGGAUUCUGGAUAAGACAGGAACAACAGGAAGAAAUUUGGAAAUGUUGAGGGCUGUUACAGAAAUACGUAUCCUUUUAUUUGCUGUAUCUGAUUUAUUGAAUUUAUUACCAUGACUCUUACAUUUACAAAAUUAUAGUGGUUAGUUUGUAGCCAUAAGAACUCAUGCAUUAUACUGUAAUAGUUUUGAAUUGUAACGUAAUGCUGGGAGUUGAAUGGGAAUUUAUGCCUGGGACCUCCAAAGCUAGAAUGAAAAUAGAAUAACUUAUAAAUAGAUCAUUCAUCACCAAGCAAACUUAUUCUUAUUUCAACCAUGUACAUUUUAUCCUCAAAAUUACUUAUUUUUAAAAUGUAAAAUUUAAAAUUUUUAGUUUGGUAAGAAUUGACAUAAUUUCCAGAACAAGUAAGAACUCAGUUGUUCUGAUGUUGCCAAUUGCAGAUAAAGUUCCUCUUUUUGAAAAUGGGUCAUUUAUUUAGAGGGAUAAUUUUAGAGAAGCCUUUUUAAAAAAUCCUUGCUCACCUUUACUUUUUUUCUGGUUUUAUUUCAUUAUUUUCUUGUAUUACUCUUUUUUUUUUUUUUUUUUGAGUCAUUUAAAAUGAAUAGAACAACUUUUUAAGGCCUCAGCUGUUCAUUGUUUUUGUGACUGUUGGUGUUACAUCCGACU
rnacentral:lncRNA from 1 species